AUUGAACGCUGGCGGCAGGCCUAACACAUGCAAGUCGAGCGAGCGGCGGACGGGUGAGUAAUGUAUGGGGACUGCCCGAUAGCGGGGGAUAACUAUUGGAAACGGUGGAUAAUACCGCAUACUAGCGGAUAACCCAUAUGGGAUUAGCUAGUAGGUGGGGUAAAGGCUCACAUGGGCGACGAGCUCUAGCUGGUCUGAGAGGAUGAUCGGCCACACUGGGACUGGGACACGGCCCAGACUCCUACGGAGGCAGCAGUGGGGAAUAUUGAUCAAUGGGCGGAAGCCUGAUGCAGCCAUGCGGCGUGUUUGAGGAAGGCCGUCGGGUUGUAAAGUACUUUCAGCUGGGCGGCGUUACCCGCAGAAGAAGCACCGGCGAACUCCGUGCCAGCAGCCGCGGUAAUAC
rnacentral:rRNA from 1 species